rnacentral:rRNA from 1 species
GUGGGGGAUAUUGCACAAUGGGGGAAACCCUGAUGCAGCGACGCCGCGUGAAGGAAGACGUACUUCGGUAUGUAAACUUCUAUCAGCAGGGAAGAAGAUGACGGUACCUGACUAAGAAGCCCCGGCUAACUACGUGCCAGCAGCCGCGGUAAUACGUAGGGGGCAAGCGUUAUCCGGAUUUACUGGGUGUAAAGGGAGCGUAGACGGUGAAGCAAGUCUGAUGUGAAAACCCGGGGCUCAACUCCGGGAUUGCAUUGGAAACUGUUUUACUUGAGUGCUGGAGGGGCAAGCGGAAUUCCUGGUGUAGCGGUGAAAUGCGUAGAUAUCAGGAAGAACACCGGUGGCGAAGGCGGCUUGCUGGACAGUAACUGACGUUGAGGCUCGAAAGCGUGGGGAGCAAACAGGAUUAGAAACCCUAGUAGUCC